UACAGAGGGUGCGAGCGUUGUUCGGAAUUACUGGGCGUAAAGCGCGCGCAGGCGGCCCUUUAAGUCCGUCGGUCAAAUGCCGGGGCUCAACCCCGAGCGUGCCGAGGAUACUGGAGGGCUGGAGACACGUAGAGGCAAGCGGAAUUCCGGGUGUAGCGGUGGAAUGCGUAGAGAUCCGGAAGAACACCGGAGGCGAAAGCGCUCUGCUGGGCCGCAACUGACACUAAUGGACGAAAGCUAGGGGAGCGAAUGGG
rnacentral:rRNA from 1 species